UACGGAGGGUGCGAGCGUUGCCCGGAAUCACUGGGCGUAAAGGGCGCGUAGGCGGCGCGGGGAGUCAACGGUGAAAGCUCGGCGCUCAACGCCGAGUCGGCCGUCGAUACUCCCGUGCUUGAGCACUGUAGAGGCAGGUGGAAUUCCGGGUGUAGCGGUGGAAUGCGUAGAGAUCCGGAAGAACACCAGUGGCGAAGGCGGCCCGCUGGGCAGUGGCUGACGCUGAGGCACGAAAGCGUGGGGAGCAAACAGG
rnacentral:rRNA from 1 species